rnacentral:rRNA from 1 species
GACGAACGCUGGCGGCGUGCUUAACACAUGCAAGUCGAACGGAAAGGCCCUGCUUUUGUGGGGUGCUCGAGUGGCGAACGGGUGAGUAACACGUGAGUAACCUGCCCUUGACUUUGGGAUAACUUCAGGAAACUGGGGCUAAUACCGGAUAGGAGCUCCUGCUGCAUGGUGGGGGUUGGAAAGUUUCGGCGGUUGGGGAUGGACUCGGGGCUUAUCAGCUUGUUGGUGGGGUAGUGGCUUACCAAGGGUUUGACGGGUAGCCGGCCUGGGAGGGGGGACGGCCACAAUGGGACUGAGGGACGGCGCAGUCGGCAACGGGAGGCAGCAGGGGGGAGUAUUGCACAGUGGGCGGGAGCGUGAUGCAGAGGCGUCGCGUGCGGGAUGACGGCCUACGGGUGGUGAACCGCUUUCGCCUGUGACGAAGCGUGAGUGACGGUAAUGGGUAAAGAAGCACCGGCUAACUACGUG